UUUAAUUAUUAAUACUAUGGGUAUUUUGGUAAAUUGAUUCUCAUUCUCAUUUCUCAUUCACAUUCCAGCCCAUUCUCAUUCCCAUUCCAUUCUCAUUCCACCACAUUCCCAUUCCACCACAUUCUCAUUCCCAUGAAGUAAACGCACCAUUAAUGUAACUACUCAACAACCCUAUCUCUCUUUGUAAUAGGAUAAAAGUACUUUUUUUUUGUUUUUGUUCUUUAUAUUUUGGGUUGUAAAAUAUAAUUAGUACAAAUGAAUUACUUAAAUGCCUAUAAUAAAUAUAAUUGUAGUACAAAAUUU
rnacentral:lncRNA from 1 species